UGUAGUAAUACUGUGACAUUUUAAUUGCAUACCAUUCUAAAGGCAGUUUUCACUCUCAGAUCCCAGUCAUAACAGGAAGUAGAAUAAAAGCAGGAAGCAACAGGAGAACAUCAGAGCUUCACACAAGACACAACUCCUGCUGACUCUCACAUACACCCAUAAAACACUGCAAUAUCAACUGAGUCCUUCUUAUUACACUUUACAGUGUGAAUAUCAGAGGGCGAUUCAUUCAAAGAUUAAAAAGGUAACGCUACAAUAGCGACUGACAAGAGAACUUGACUUCAUGCUAAAGUAAAAGUUACUUACAGUAUCUGCUCGCGUUGUUGUGAUUGUCAUCAAGUGUCAUGUUGUCAAGCAGCAGAAGCGUCAGACUGAAGGAGAACCCGCUUCUGCCGCCUUGAGGAGCGGAGGAAAACUGCACUUUACUCUCGUCGGAUCACAUCUGAGACUUUGGAUUAAAGUUCCUGUGAAAUUACAGCAGCAACAUGUUUGACAAGCUCUGUGGUGCAGAAAAUAAUGAUUUCCUUUGAAUGAGAAA